CAAAAUACAAAUUCAUGUUGUCGUCUUUCGAAGUUGCGUUUCAGUGUGCUGUGCGCUUCUCGUUUUUCGAGCUGUCAGGUUGGUUGCCGCUUUAUUUAAAGCACUGGAGGGGGUGGAAACUGGAGGCGCAGUAGGUUCUGUGAAUUUUGACGUUGCCCUUGCCCCGACCAGUUGAGGUUGCUUGCAGGCAUUGAUUUCAUUCGCCGCUGGGAAAUCCAUGAUCCAUUUAUAAGUCUCAGUUGUUUCUUGAUUUAGGGCUUGUAAUUCUGUAUAGGUUGAUUGGAAAGUGAAGAUUCUACGGUUUUGAGGUGCGGCUUUCCGAUGGGUAGCAGAGGUAAAUCUAGUAGGAAACGACGUCACUUUAGUUCCAACUCGCCGGCUGCAGGCAAGAACCAGUCUUCGGCUCCGUUGUCUGAGGAGAAAAAGCUAGAUGCAGCCGUACUUCAAUUCCAGAAUGAAAAACUCACUCAGAAAUUAGAAACUCAGAAGGUUGAGUUUCGGGCUCUUGAAGAAAAGCUGCAUCAGUUGGACUAUAAACAGCAGUUGCAUGAGCAAACCUUAGCUGCUGUCAAUAACUCAUGGGAAGAGGUGGCUGGUGACUUGGAAACUCAGUCAAGUCGCAUAUUGGAAUCUACGAAACAUGUGAGAGAUUUUGAAUGCCACCAACUCAAAGAUGGUGGCAAUUCACCUCAAGAAGAUGCUUUGUUAAGCCGCGUCUUAGAAACUGGUGCAACUGAAAGUAGCUCGCCCAGCACAUCAGUAAACACAAUUGAAGAAGAUAGAAAGAUAGAAUGGCCAAACAAGACACUCCAUAAUAUUGUUUCUUCUUUUGAUGAGCUGAAUGGUCUGAAGCAUAGACUGCACAAUGCAUCUUUGAAAGCGAUCUCACCUAAUUUCCCGAGUGAGAGGGAGGUUUCUUCAGAUCUGCAAACUGAGGUUAAAAAACUUCGGAUGAUGGUUCUCAAGCUUCACUUGGAACAUAGAUCCCUGGCCAAAGAAGUACAGAGCCACAGAGAUAUUGAUGCAAGGAACAAAGCUUCUUUAAAGCAUUUGGAAGGAGAAUUAGAAAGUACACUUGCUGAAUUGCAAGAAAGUAACAAUAACUUGGAAAUUCUAAAGGCUGAACAAGUUUCGGAGAAGGCACUUGUCCUUUAUCAGAAUCAGGGAACUGAACAGGUUGAACGAGAUCAUGAAAAGGGUGCGCUUGUCCUUUAUCAGAAUGAAGGAAAUAAGCAGGGUGAACGAGAUUUGGGGAAAGCACUUGUCGUUUAUCAGAAUCGAGGAAAUAAGCAGGUUGAACAAGAUCAGGAAAAGGGUGCUCUUAUCCUUUAUCGGAAUCAAGGGAAUAAGCAGUUAACUAUUCACAAAUCAAAGGAUAAAGAGAGGGAUUUGCAAGACAUGGAAUCCUCACUGAAGGAGCUAUUGCACCAAUCUGCAUGUCGACUGCACCAGCUCAACCAGCUUCAUGUGGAAAGGUUAGACAUGUUACGCCGCGUAGCAGAUCUGCAGAACCAUGCAAAGAAUGUUAAACAUAUUAAUUCUACUCAAGCAUUUCGCUCGAUGAAAGAUCAAGCGGAAAAGGCUAAAUCUGAUGCAGUCAAGUAUCAUGCUUUUACUGUUAAAUCACAGAUUGAGAGAGAGAGUAUUUACUGGUGGGACAAAGAGAGGCAUUUGCACAAGGAAUUACUUGAAGCUCUUCAUCGGAUCUCAGCACUUUCUCAUUCCAAAAUUAGUGACUUGGAAAUAGAGAUACGUAGAUACGUUAAAGAGAAAGACCUCAUUGUGGCUAAAUUGAAAAAUGCAUCUAAAGAACCUGGGAGAAAAGAUAUUCCGGGGCUCAAAGCUUUAGCUUCAUCAUUUCCUGAGAAAAUGCGCAGCAUGCAAGAUCAGUUAGCUAAACACAAGGAGACUGCUGCAGGACUUCAUUGUUUGCAAGCUGAGGUUGAAUCCCUCACUAAUAUCCUUAAUCGGAAGGCUAACGAAUGGGAUAUUCUGACUUCAGGAUCGGCUCAGCAAAAUGCUGAAGUGAAAAACCUGAAAUUAAGGAUCACUUGCCUAGAGAGCACAGCAGCAGACCUGAAGCGUUUUCAGGAAAUGUAUGCACAUGCAUCGGCAGACUCAAGGGAAGUUGAAGAAGCGCGAGACUCUGAGCUGAAGGCAUGGGCUCAUGUUCAGGGCCUUACAUCUUCUCUUGAUGAGCGUAAUUUGGAGUUGCGAGUUAAAGUUGCAAUUGAAGCAGAAGCAAAGUCCCAGCAGAGAUUAGCCACUGCGGAGGCUGAGAUUGCUGAAUUGAGACAGAAACUAGAGGCCUCUAAAAGGGAAAAAGCAAAACUUUCCAAUGUCCUAAAAUCCAAAACGGAAGAAACUGAGGCGUAUAUUGCAGAGAUAGAGACUAUUGGGCAGGCAUAUGAUGACAUGCACAAUCAUAACCAGGAGCUUCUACGGCAAAUCACUGAGAAAGAUGACUAUAAUGAAAAGCUUGUUAUAGAGGGUGCACGUGCAAGACAGUUGGAAGAUGCUCUGCUUGUGGAGAAGAAUAUGUUGGAGAAAGCUGUACAGCCGACUAGAAAAGUAGUUACUUCUGGCGACUUUAAAGUUGGUAGAGUUGGGAAUCAGUUGAAAGCCUUGAGAGAUCACCUGAAGAGAGUUGCUGAAGAUGACAUCUACAAAGCUGAUACUAUGGAACUUGUUCAAACAAGAUUGUUAGAUACAAAGAAAUCCUCUCAGCAACUUACGAGCACACUUGAUGAAACACAAUCCCAGGUAGAAAGAAGCCGGGGAUCUCUCACUGAUGUGCAAAUACAGAGAGAGAAGAAUAGGUUUAGGAACAAAAGGGUAGAAGAGGAUCUAGAUGAUCUGAGGAGUAAGGUUCAACAACUAGAAUCACAAGCUCAGAGUUCAUCCGUUAAUGAAAAGCUUCAACAAGAACUCAAGGGAUACAAAGAAAUUCUGAUAUGCAGUGUCUGCAAUGAUAGGCGCAAAGAGGUGGUUAUCACGAAAUGCUACCAUUUAUUUUGCAAUGCUUGCGUGCAAAGAAUUUUGAACACACGACAUCGCAAGUGCCCUGCUUGUUCUGCUAGCUUUGGCGCCAAUGAUGUCAAGCCCGUGUACAUCUGAUCUGGAUUCUAGAAGCUUCUUUGCAUUGAUUCAUGCACCUUCACAUCUCCAAGAGAUCAGCCUCUCAGUCAAUGCUUGUGUGGAUGAGAUGCUUCUAUAUAUUGCACAAACGUCAAUAUACACCCAUUGUCCUCAUGAGAUCCAUUGGAGUCAUAAACAUCAGAAUUAGUUAAGGUCCAAAUGCAAAUUUGCAUAUUAUUAUGGAUCUGACGAUUCUGGAUUGUUGCUGAUCAAUUAUUUUAUUUAUUCUCUAGUAUUUAUAGAUUAGAUCCCGCUCCAGGGAACCUUCAGAUUGUAAGUAUUUAAGGCGUUUUGUGAGCAUAUAUGUAGUAGGAAGAACCACAGUUUACAAAUUAAUCUGAACUAUGGGUAUAUCCUUAUAUGUAGAAAUUUAUAUUUUGUCUCAGUCCUCCAGCUUCUGUCAAAUAUGAGCUGAUUUUUAGAGACAGGAAAUGUAGGACACUUAAGCAGAAGCCUGUCAAUGCAAUUACAAGAUGGAUGGAUCUCCUUCUUGGAUUUUAACGGCGUAAAGGGGAAAAGGAAAAGGAAAAGGAAAUGUCAUGGCACGGUAUGUGUUAUUAAUCAUUCAUGUUUGUACAAUCUAAAUGGUCCCCAAGCUUCCCAUUAGGGUUCAACAAGUCUUGAGGA